rnacentral:lncRNA from 1 species
AAAAUAAAGUGUGAAAAGCCAUAACAACUGAAAUAUCCAAAUACAAUCCCGAAUCUAGUGUCACAAAUGCACGGGCUACUAGAAUAAUACAGAUAAAUGUCUGAACGAAAGUAAAGCGGUCUGAAAUAAAAUACACAACUAAGAUAAAGUAGAAGGGGACUUCAAGGCUGCGAACGCCGAACAGUUGUACCUCAAGUCUCCAUACUAAUAGUCAACCCGAGCAAUCUACUGACCACCACUGGGACCGACUCCAAAAUCUACACAAGAAGUGCAGACUGUAGUAUGAGUACAACCAACCCCAUAUAAUAUGUAAGUGCCGAGCCUAACCUCAACGAAGUAGUGACGAGACUAAGGCAUGCCACUUACAAUAACCUGUAUGCAGUACUAAUAAUGAUAGGAAAGGAAAAUACGGAAACGAAAUAUGGCAGUUAGCUCAUGAAAACAACUCAAUCCUAAAAGAAAACCACUAAAUAUAAGAAAUACCAAUCCUUUGAGUCUCGUACGAAAGUACAAAAGCCAACACAAUACAACAGGGAGGAGAAAACACAUAAAUUGUUGCAACGUGUAACCCAAUCCCACCGUACAACACAAUCCUACCUUAUUCGACCAUGUAAAUUUCAAUAAUAAUAAGUAAAUAUAUGUUGCGGCGCGCAACCUGAUUCCACCAUAUAAUUAGAGUCAAUACCAUAAUUCUCUCUUAUUUCACCAUAUCAAUCCUUCACCUGUUGCGGCGCGCAACCCGAUCCCACCAUACAACAUAAAUCCUCCCUUAUGCCACCUGUUGCGGCAUGCAACCCGAUCUAUAAAUAAAUAAGUGCAAUCAAUUUAACAACUCGAAACAAAAGAAUCUUUACGAUUAACGAAUAUGAAAGCUACAAAUCAAGAAGGAAUCUCGUACCAAAUCAUGAAAGACUACAACUAAUACGAAGCAAUAAGACAAGUCAAAUAUAUGAUAGUUAAAGGAUAGAAGUAAGACAAUUAAGGCAUGUAUCAGUUAAGCAUGUGAGCAUGGAAGAAAUUAACAUCUAUAAUUGCGAGAAUAAUAAAUUACAAGUAGCAAGUUAAAGCAUAGGAAGCAAUUAAGGCAUGUAACAAUCAAGACAUGGAAUGCUAUAAUUAAUGAAAUAUGGGUAGAUAUGAAAACAAGUAAUUGACGGUGUAUAGAUACUCGUCACCUCGCAUAUACGCUGUUACUCAUGAAAAUUCACAUAGUACAUAGCUCAAUGGUUCAUAUUCCCUCAAAUCAAGGUUCGACCCAAGACUUACCUCACUCCGCAAUCAACUCAAGAUUCAACCAUGGCCUUGCCUUUCGAACAAGCCUCCAAACCAACCA